ensembl:snRNA U6 U6 spliceosomal RNA
GUGCUCACUUUGGCAGGACACAUGCUGAAUCUGGAAUGAUACUGAGAAGAUUAGGAUGGCCCUUGAGUAAGGAUGACAAACAAAGUCAUGAAGUGUAACUAAUUUUU